rnacentral:tRNA from 1 species
GGGGAUAUGGCUCAAUGGUAGAGUGCCCAGGUUCAAUCCCUGGUCCCCACAAAAAAUAAAAUUAAAAAUAAAAAGGUUUGGGGUAUAACUCAGUGGUAAAGGGCCUCUGGGUUCAAUCCCUAGUACCCCCC